ensembl:lncRNA
AGAGAGAGAGAGAGAGAGAGAGAGUCAACCCCACAACGCUCUCAUUAAGUUUGCAGUAAUUACCCAGAAGGCCCUGCACCACUUCAAAGCCAACACAGCCAAAGCAAAACAAACAAGAACAAGGAAGAGGAGGAGAGGAGGAGGAGGAGGAGGAGGAGGAAGAGUGGAUAUGGCGUGGUGGUGGUGGGGGUACGGGCGCGUCGCAAGUGACUGGACCUUCCUGGUGUAGGAGAAGAAGAAGGGAACACUUUCCCAUGCGCACACGCACAACAUACACACGCACGCACGCACGCACGCACGCACGCACACACACACACACACACAAUUACUAUGCAUACAUGCACCCACACUCAAACACAGACACCCACAAACCCACUCCACUAUUUAUUGUGUUUUUAUGCCACUGUCAAAGACUGUGGCAUUACAUUUUUGUGUAAAGUUUGAUUGAACAUUAAAGAAUUGAAUUGAAGUCUUAAUUGAAGUCUAAAACUCACUCACUCAGUCUCUCACUCAAUCAAAAACAGACACCCACACACCCACACAUGCACCCGCACACAGAUACACACACAAAAGCAAACACAUAAAUACAUACAUGCAUACAUACAUACAUACAUACAUACAUACAUACAUACAUACAUACAUACAUACAUACAUACAUACAUACAUACAUACAUACAUACAUACAUACAUACAUACAUACAUACAUAAAUCUAAACAGAUGUACAAACCCACACUUACAUAGACAAACCAGAAGGCCAACACUGGAUGCAGACGUUAGGGAUUGAACACAGUAGCAGCUUUCAGCUUGGACUCUAACACACAAAGAACUGUCUUAUACUAUUAGAGGUAAUGCCUGCCAAUUGCUAAACGCUCUCCCGAAUAGUCAUUUCCCUGGAACACAAACAAAUGAUUCAAACCAACCACCGCAAUAAGCAAGACCUCAAGUAGCAUCCCAUUCACAAACAAGCAAUAACAAUUAGCUUGCAAUUAGCUUAGCAUUAGCUAUGAGUUCACCCACUGGCUCCUUUAGUUCCAUUAUGAGCUCCAAUGGAUAUGCAAUCAAUUUACUUCCAAAAUAAAGGUUUCAUGUGUGUUUUAUAAUAGUUUUAUAGCAUCAGAUUUUAUAACAUUACAACCAACCAAACACCCAAAGAACUGUAACAAUUAAAAUCAAUAAAUU